AUGGAAAUAUUUUUGCUGAAGAGACAACGAUAUUUAGCUGCAGGCUGCGUCAUCUUUUUGUUUUAUAGUUGUUUAAACUUUGUGGCGCUGCUGCUCUUGUUGGCCUUCUUUAGGUUGAUAUACUCUCCCCUUCUUAAUAUAUUUACAUGCAAUUCUCAUGCAUGUUCCCGGGAAAAAAGAAAUGACUGUUUGAUAAAUUGGAGCAUUGCACUUUUAAGUAAGUUUUCAACCAUUAUUUUUUUGCAUAAAAUUACUUAUCUAUAUGCAAACGAUUUCUCUGUUUUUAGUAGCCUUGCAGGACAUCAGAGAGCAGAUAACACAUUGGCCACAUCUCCAGUAAACGUGGCAAUCAUACUAAAUCAUAAAAGGAAGUAUGAAUGCAAUGCUUGA
rnacentral:rRNA from 1 species